AGAGUUUGAUCAUGGCUCAGAAUCAACGCUGGCGGCGUGCCUAACACAUGCAAGUCGAACGCGGUUACCUCGCAAGGGGUAACUGAGUGGCGAACGGGUGAGUAACACGUGGGUGACCUACCUUCGAGUGGGGGAUAACGUCCCGAAAGGGACGCUAAUACCGCAUAACAUCCUGCCUUUGAACAGGUGGAGAUCAAAGCCGGGGAUCGCAAGACCUGGCGCUUGAUGAGGGGCCCGCGCCUGAUUAGCUAGUUGGUGGGGUAAUGGCUCACCAAGGCGACGAUCAGUAUCCGGCCUGAGAGGGCGGACGGACACACUGGGACUGAGACACGGCCCAGACUCCUACGGGAGGCAGCAGUGGGGAAUUGUUCGCAAUGGGCGCAAGCCUGACGACGCAACGCCGCGUGGAGGAUGAAGGUCUUCGGAUUGUAAACUCCUGUUGCUCGGGACGAAAAGCUCCGACCUAAUACGUCGGAGUCUGACGGUACCGAGUGAGGAAGCCCCGGCUAACUCUGUGCCAGCAGCCGCGGUA
rnacentral:rRNA from 1 species